CCCACUAAGGACUGCAGUGUCACACCACCCCUCCUGGGAUGUGGGCUCAGUAGCAGGCGAGUCCUGGUCUGGGUCUGGCUCUGGCUCUGGGUCUGGCUCUGGGUCUGGGGGAGCCAGUAGGCCUCCUGGGGGAGUGGGGUGGACCUCAUACAACCCUUUUGUUUCAUAUGAUCCGGUAUCUAAAACCUGGGCUUCUGCCAUAGGCCUGAUACCAGAGCCCAGACUCUGACCUGGAAAGGACCUCUUCAAAUCCAAUAAAUGAACUCAUCACCGCGUUAUACAAAGCCAUUCCCCACAGAGCCCACUUCAUGGUGGAGCUGUGUUAUUGUGUGUGUGUGUGUGCGUGUGUGCAUGUGCGUGCAUGUGUGUGCGUGUGUGUGUGUGUGUGUGUAUGUGUGUGUGCAGAAUGAUAGUUAUGAUAUUAUAACUCUAGUUCUAUGAUUGUAGACGGCGUAGCCUACAUGAAAUAGGACAUUGUAUUGUUGAAAGCUGCUCUUGAAUCAAUGCUUGUUUAUGUUUUUAGCGUAUUGACUUGGUUCGUAUCAAUAAGAGUAGGUAAGUGUUGGCAGGGAUAUUGCUGACCAGAGGUUAUCGAACCAGGUGUUAUGGGGUCGGAGGUCGGCUCUAAUGGUGGAGGAGGCCUUUGGUGAUUCACGGCUGCACUUGCUCUCCGUAUCGCCUCUUUAAGAGGACGGGAAAUUACUUUGACCGACUACACAACAGCAGAGUAGAAGAGGGAAUAGUAAACGAUUCCUGCUGGAGUCAAGAGGGUGUAGUCGGUAUUGGCUGAUAUAAAGAAACAGGUGAACUGAAGAAAACGGAACUGAACUAAACAGAAUUGAACUGAGGGGAAUUAAACUGAACUGUAAUUGAUUUGUUUUGCUUUUUCUUUGUUUGAUUCGAUCACUCAAGAUGGAGUUAAAAUAAAUGUCACCUUUUGUAAAACUCUCAGCAAUGUCCACUCGAAACCUUUACCUGGUUAUAGAAUAUGUACCCACAAAUGACUAGUGCAACCUUGUGAUAUAUUUUAGUCAGAAUUAGAUUUCUUUAUUUGUGUAUUAAUUUCAUAUGCAGAGAAAAUAUA
ensembl:lncRNA